rnacentral:rRNA from 1 species
GCCAGUAGCCAUAUCACCCUACAACUUACUGUACAACUGGCAGCCCACUGAAGCUCAGCAGGUGUGAGCCUGGUCAGUACCUGGAUGGGAGACCUCCUGGGAAAAACUAAGGCUGCUGCUGGAA